GUGAGACCCUCAACAAGAUCAAAGGCAGGAAAACUGGUCUCUUCAAGUAUUAGCUGCUGAUGCUGGACCUCGAGGAACAGCUCAAAUUCCUGAAAGAACAACCGCUGACGACGAGUUAACAGAAACAUGGAACCUUCCAAAAGCAGGAGCAACAGGAAGUGACCAGCUAGACAAACAAUGGAGGAGAUCCAGUUGCAGAGUGGUGUUUUUCUGUCGGCCAAUCAGUCGACUGUCAUCGGUGGAACCGGUCUCGCUCCACUCUGACAGUGCCAUUUACUCUGGUACCCCAAGGGAAGAGGGCCAAAGAACAGAACAGUUGAGGAUCGUACAGCGUUCCACUAACAUCAGCCCCAUACAGUGGUGGAUUGAAGGUCAGGUUCUUCCAGAACUUCCUCUCCAGCUCAUCAAAAUCCACAUAUCUGGGAAUGCAGAACCUAGAAGGAGAAACACUGUGAGCU